GAUGAAGAACGUAGCGAAAUGCGAUACUUGGUGUGAAUUGCAGAAUCCCGUGAACCAUCGAGUCUUUGAACGCAAGUUGCGCCCGAAGCCAUCAGGUUGAGGGCACGUCUGCCUGGGCGUCACAUAUCGUUGCCCAAUGCCUAUUGCAGUGCAAUAGGAAUUUCUAGGGCGGAUGAUGGCUUCCCGUGAGCGUUGUUGCCUCGCGGUUGGUUGAAAAUCGAGUCCUUGGUAGGGUGUGCCAUGGUAGAUGGUGGUCGAGUUAGAACGAUACCGAUCAUGUGCAUGCUCCCCAAAAUAUGGCCUCUAUGACCCACACGCGUCUUUUGACGCUCAUGACGAGACCUCAGGUCAGGCGGGGCUACCCGCUGAAUUUAAGCAUAUCAAUAAGCGGAGGA
rnacentral:misc_RNA from 1 species